rnacentral:rRNA from 1 species
GCACAAGCGGCGGAGCAUGCGGAUUAAUUCGAUGCAACGCGAAGAACCUUACCAAGGCUUGACAUAUACCGGAAACUUCCAGAGAUGGUUGCCCCUUUGGGUCGGUAUACAGGUGGUGCAUGGUUGUCGUCAGCUCGUGUCGUGAGAUGUUGGGUUAAGUCCCGCAACGAGCGCAACCCUCGUUCUAUGUUGCCAGCACGUAAUGGUGGGGACUCAUGGAAGACUGCCGGGGUCAACUCGGAGGAAGUGGGGAUGACGUCAAAUCAUCAUGCCCCUUAUGUCUUGGGCUUCACGCAUGCUACAAUGGCCGGUACAAAGGGCUGCGAUACCGCAAGGUGGAGCGAAUCCCAAAAAGCCGGUCUCAGUUCGGAUUGGGGUCUGCAACUCGACCCCAUGAAGUCGGAGUCGCUAGUAAUCGCAGAUCAGCAACGCUGCGGUGAAUACGUUCCCGGGCCUU